rnacentral:lncRNA from 1 species
CGAGAAGGGUCACGCACAGGAUUGCGACCUCGAUUGGAACGCGCUUCCCGAAAGGGGCAUGCGCAGAGAGGUCGUAGUCGCGUCUGAGGUGGCGGGACAGGCUUCAUUGGGACAGCCCUAACCCAGCUGCUGAAUGCCAGAGGCCACGAAGUGACGUUGGUCUCCCGAAAGCCCGGGCCCGGCCGGAUCACGUGGGUAAGUCCAUCCUCUGGAAGCG